CAAUGAGAUGCCGUGAAUUUAACCACCUCUACACCCAGCAGUGUUACACAGCGAUAGACCCGUCCCCACCGGUACUGUACCCCAGUGUAACACAGCGACAGACCUGUCCCCACCAGUGCUGUUUGCCAGCUCAAGUGACUCGGGCAGCGUGGGCCACAGCUGAUGUGGACAAUGAUGCCCGGUUUACCUAUGGUGAGUGUC